GAUUAACGCUAGCGGCAGGCCUAACACAUGCAAGUCGAGGGGCAGCAUGAGAUGUAGUAAUACAUCUGGUGGCGACCGGCGCACGGGUGCGUAACGCGUAUGCAACCUACCUUAUACAGGGGAAUAAACUGGAGAAAUUCGGCCUAAUACCCCAUAACACACAGAGCGACAUCGCUUUGUGUUGAAAGAUUUAUCGGUAUAAGAUGGGCAUGCGUUGUAUUAGUUUGUUGGUGAGGUAACGGCUCACCAAGACUACGAUACAUAGGGGGACUGAGAGGUUAACCCCCCACACUGGUACUGAGACACGGACCAGACUCCUACGGGAGGCAGCAGUGAGGAAUAUUGGUCAAUGGGAGCAAUCCUGAACCAGCCAUGCCGCGUGCAGGAUGACGGCUCUAUGAGUUGUAAACUGCUUUUGUACGAGGGUAACCGGCGGAACGUGUUCCGCCCUGAAAGUAUCGUACGAAUAAGGAUCGGCUAACUCCGUGCCAGCAGCCGCAGUAACAC
rnacentral:rRNA from 1 species